rnacentral:lncRNA from 1 species
CGUCUCGACGUCCGUGACGGUCGGGGCGCUUACUUCGCGAGCUGGGCGUACCAGAGACCGGUGAUCUUCACGUCCUUGGGAGCCUUGGAGCCGAGGUCGGUGUCGGAGGGCUGGAUGGACUCGAACACACCCGCAAUCUCUCCGGUGACCUCGUCGUACUUGGCCACGUUGAACACGGCGGAGCCCUUGAGGGCGGCGACGUUCUUGUUGUUCUCCUUGAGGAGCUCGUCGGCGUCGGACUUGGCGGGGAGGGCGACGGCGUUGUCGUAACCGGUGGAACCGCCGCGGCCCUUGGGGUCGAGGAAGGAGGAGCCGCGGUAGGAGGGCACGACAAAGUCACCGCCGAACUGGGAGGUGUUACCCUUGCCGGUGAACUCCUUGAGGGUGAAGAGGAAGGGGACGCGCUCGCCGCCGGGAAGCUGGACGGUGACGGGGGCGUAGUCCAGGCCGUCGCGCUCCUGCACGGCGACGGAGCCGUCGGAGCCAACCUUGAACGAGCCGGUC